ACAUUCAACGCCAUCUGUACAUAGUGAUCUAUUUAUGCAUAGGCAACAAAGCCAUGGAUACGAACGUGCGUGCACAUUAGAUAGAUGCAGUUCUUUCAGCGUUUGUGAAACUAAACGAAUGUCGCUACUUCAACUAAAAGAAGACACAUUAGAGAAAGAAGACGAAAAAAAAAAAGGAAGAAGAAUAAGAAGAAGGAGACGAAAAAGGAGAAGUUAUAUUGCCGUAACCCUCCCCUUGAAAAAGAAAGACAAGAAACAAGAAAGACAAAAUAACAGAGAAUACAUGAUGAGAAAAAACAGAAAAGGAAGCGAAAAAAAAAAACUAAGGCAUAUAAAAUAAAUGAAUGAAUAAAAGAAUAGAAGAAUAAAAGAAUAGACGAGAUAAAAGGAGGAAUAAAAAUAGAAUAGAAAGAAUGUCGUUUGUAUAAAAGUACUGGGAGAAGACUGAGAGAGUAGGUGGGGUGGAGACAGAAAUAGGUAGAGAAUGGAUGGAUGGAUGGAUGGAUGGAUGGAUGGAUGGAUGGAGGGAGGGAGGGAUGGUUGGAAAGAAGAGUUUCAAGAGAGGUGCAGAGAUAAAGAAAUUAUAGGUAUAGUAAUAUGACUGAUGAUGAUAAUGAUAGUGAUUGUGGUGGUGGUGGUGGUGGUGAUGGUGGUGGCGAUGCUGAUGGCGAUGGUGGUGACGACGAUCGUGAUGAUUGGCGAAGCCGACGAUGAUGAUGGUGAUGACAAAGAUGACGGUGAUUGUAGUGAUGGAGAAGGAUGAUGAGGACAAUAACGAAGACACAGCAUAUUUAUACAUAUAGAGUAAGAAAGCUGUAUGCGAGUCUAAAGGAGAGAGAGAAAAAAAGCAAUGAAAUGAAAUGUAAAAGAAGCGACAGAGGAAGCGCGAAAAACGAAGUGACAAAUGUAAGAUGUGUUAUCACCUCUACACUCCACACACACACACACACACACACACACACACACACACACACACACACACACAAACAAGCAAAUAUAUAUAAGUAUACAGUCACAAAGACAAACAAUAUAUGUAUAAAUCAUGACGAGGAACAAAAGACUAGUAAUAGUAGUAGUAGUAGUAGUAGUAGUAGUAGUAGUAGUAGUAGUAGUAGUGUCUGUUAUUGAAGAUAUUGCUAAUGCUGCAGAGUGGUGGUGGUGGUGGUGGUUUUGGUGGUGGUAGUGAUGGUGGUUGGUGAUGUAAAACACAUUUGAGUCGAAAAGCAUUUUGAAAGGAAGAAACUAA